CAUAUUGAUGAACCUCCCUUUGCAUAUUUUUCCCUGUUUGAUCUCGGAAGCUAAGCAGAGUAGGGCCUGGUUAGUACUUGGAUGGGAGACCACCUAAGACCAGGUGCUGUUAGGU
rnacentral:rRNA from 1 species